ACGACCUUACUUGAACAGGAUCUGUUCUAUAGGCUCGUACUUCUUUAUCCUUGAGUUCUAAGGAGACAGGAAAUCAAGCUUGGUGGAUGAAUUAUGGCCAAGUGACUAGAGCGUGAUUAACAGCCCCAAACCUUCACUGGGCGGAGCUGUAGAGGAUUGUUAUGGUCCCCUUGGCUGUCUGACAGGCU
rnacentral:snoRNA from 1 species